AAGGUAAUGAAGAAUUGAGUGCGGGUGAAGUUGUUAUUCAAGAGCAAGAGGGGUCUAAGGUAUAUUACAUGGGAUGUUCUUGCAUUGUAGGCAAUUUGAUCACAUCGUGAUAUGUGAAUGUUGUUUCUUCAUGUUAAUUAGAUGUUUUUUAACUUUAUCUAUUUGGAAAAUUCUGGUACGGUGUUAUAUUUAGUUGAGAAAUUAUUAAAGUAAACUAGGAAUUGCUAUCAAAUGCUUACCUAGCAUGUUCUAAUCCAAAGAAUUGAUAUUAUUAAAUUAUGCCUGACUCC